AAAUUGAAGAGUUUGAUCAUGGCUCAGAUUGAACGCUGGCGGCAGGCCUAACACAUGCAAGUCGAACGGUAACAGAAAGCAGCUUGCUGCUUUGCUGACGAGUGGCGGACGGGUGAGUAAUGUCUGGGAAACUGCCUGAUGGAGGGGGAUAACUACUGGAAACGGUAGCUAAUACCGCAUAACGUCGCAAGACCAAAGAGGGGGACCUUCGGGCCUCUUGCCAUCGGAUGUGCCCAGAUGGGAUUAGCUUGUUGGUGGGGUAACGGCUCACCAAGGCGACGAUCCCUAGCUGGUCUGAGAGGAUGACCAGCCACACUGGAACUGAGACACGGUCCAGACUCCUACGGGAGGCAGCAGUGGGGAAUAUUGCACAAUGGGCGCAAGCCUGAUGCAGCCAUGCCGCGUGUAUGAAGAAGGCCUUCGGGUUGUAAAGUACUUUCAGCGGGGAGGAAGGGAGUAAAGUUAAUACCUUUGCUCAUUGACGUUACCCGCAGAAGAAGCACCGGCUAACUCCGUGCCAGCAGCCGCGGUAAUACGGAGGGUGCAAGCGUUAAUCGGAAUUACUGGGCGUAAAGCGCACGCAGGCGGUUUGUUAAGUCAGAUGUGAAAUCCCCGGGCUCAACCUGGGAACUGCAUCUGAUACUGGCAAGCUUGAGUCUCGUAGAGGGGGGGUAGAAUUCCAGGUGUAGCGGUGAAAUGCGUAGAGAUCUGGAGGAAUACCGGUGGCGAAGGCGGCCCCCUGGACGAAGACUGACGCUCAGGUGCGAAAGCGUGGGGAGCAAACAGGAUUAGAUACCCUGGUAGUCCACGCCGUAAACGAUGUCGACUUGGAGGUUGUGCCCUUGAGGCGUGGCUUCCGGAGCUAACGCGUUAAGUCGACCGCCUGGGGAGUACGGCCGCAAGGUUAAAACUCAAAUGAAUUGACGGGGGCCCGCACAAGCGGUGGAGCAUGUGGUUUAAUUCGAUGCAACGCGAAGAACCUUACCUGGUCUUGACAUCCACGGAAGUUUUCAGAGAUGAGAAUGUGCCUUCGGGAACCGUGAGACAGGUGCUGCAUGGCUGUCGUCAGCUCGUGUUGUGAAAUGUUGGGUUAAGUCCCGCAACGAGCGCAACCCUUAUCCUUUGUUGCCAGCGGUCCGGCCGGGAACUCAAAGGAGACUGCCAGUGAUAAACUGGAGGAAGGUGGGGAUGACGUCAAGUCAUCAUGGCCCUUACGACCAGGGCUACACACGUGCUACAAUGGCGCAUACAAAGAGAAGCGACCUCGCGAGAGCAAGCGGACCUCAUAAAGUGCGUCGUAGUCCGGAUUGGAGUCUGCAACUCGACUCCAUGAAGUCGGAAUCGCUAGUAAUCGUGGAUCAGAAUGCCACGGUGAAUACGUUCCCGGGCCUUGUACACACCGCCCGUCACACCAUGGGAGUGGGUUGCAAAAGAAGUAGGUAGCUUAACCUUCGGGAGGGCGCUUACCACUUUGUGAUUCAUGACUGGGGUGAAGUCGUAACAAGGUAACCGUAGGGGAACCUGCGGUUGGAUCACCUCCUUA
rnacentral:rRNA from 1 species